GACGAACGCUGGCGGCGUGCUUAACACAUGCAAGUCGAACGGAAAGGCCCUGCUUUUGUGGGGUGCUCGAGUGGCGAACGGGUGAGUAACACGUGAGUAACCUGCCCUUGACUUUGGGUUAACUUCAGGAAACUGGGGCUAAUACCGGAUAGGAGCUCCUGCUGCAUGGUGGGGGUUGGAAAGUUUCGGCGGUUGGGGAUGGACUCGCGGCCUAUCAGCUUGUUGGUGGGGUAGUGGCUUACCAAGGCUUUGACGGGUAGCCGGCCUGAGAGGGUGACCGGCCACAUUGGGACUGAGAUACGGCCCAGACUCCUACGGGCGGCAGAAGUGGGGAAUAUUGCACAAUGGGCGGACGCCUGAUGCAGCAACGCCGCGUGCGGGAUGACGGCCUUCGGGUUGUAAACCGCUUUCGCCUGUGACGAAGCGUGAGUGACGGUAAUGGGUAAAGAAGCACCGGCUAACUACGUG
rnacentral:rRNA from 1 species